AAAUGUUUCGUAGAUAUUGGGCAUUUAUUUUUUUCUGAAAUCAAUGUAAAAUAUACCGGAUACUUUUGUGACACAGGAAAGUAAAAUAAUAAAGAGUAAUUUCGGAUUAAACACUGAAGUGAGUGAUGGGAGUAUAGAGGUGUGGGAAGGUAUGGAUAGGAUGCUUUUGUUAACUAAAAAGGGUUUAAUUUGUUUAAAAUAAAAGCCCUAAAACAUAAUAGGUACCCAUAGUAAAUUAUAUGAUUAUAUGAUGCUUUUUCGUGUAUGGGAGUAAAUCGUUUUUUCUUUGUAUUCUAAAUGUCCGUUAUAUAAAAUAGUUUAGUUG